AUUCGUCUCACAAGGGUCUAUCCUCUUUCCUCCCCUCUUUUCACUUUCAAUUAGCACAAAAUUCAGAUAUCAUAACACCAACCAUGGUGUUUAUACAGUUCUAGCUAGAUCAUUGAAGUAAAUACAACUCACAUGUUUUUUCAUCUUAUAUGGGCAAGCAUAAACAACAGACAACAUCGAAUCGAAUUUUCUAAUUUUAUCUAAAAUCAAGACAUCUAUCUGGUUAUCGAAAUUGUGAAUGAACUGAAGAUCAAUUUUGACAAACCAAGCAAGAACAAUACCUCCUACAGUACCAGCCAUCCCAGUUGGAUUUACGACAAUCAUAUCCAGGUAUUGAAGUUUUUUAAUUAUCAGAAUGAUGUAGGAUUCAUGGUGUUUGGUUUCCUGAAGGAAAAUCAAAUCUGGUUUGUGUUUGGUAAUUAGGUUUCUAAGAUGUGAUUUUGUGUUUUUUUCCUAAUCCUUGGAAAUUCCAAGCAAGAAUAUUGAUAGACAUAUUGUGAAAAUAGGGUAAGGAGAUAUCAUACUUAGAAAAGAAGCACUGAAAAUUGAUAGAGAUUGAGUAAUUCAAAAGGCUAUGAGGAUUUGGUUUUAAUCAUACCUAGCUUACCACAGAGUUUUUGUUCCCAUUGCUUGAUCUAGCAUUUCAGUAUCUGCUCCAGAGGUUGUACUCAAUGUCCAUUUCUCAUCGAUUGCUUUUGAGUAGAUUUUUAGCGCAUUCAUCUGCGGGUUUUCUUUGCUAACCUCCAAAGCUCUAUCAGUUGAAGAGGGCAUGGGAAAAGGAGAGUUUGGUGAAGUGAUGGUUUGGGUUUGGGUUUGGCUUGAAGUUUCCAGAGAAUGUGGGAAUGGUUUAAUGGUUGGGUUUUGUUUUUUUGGGGUACUGAAAAUGGCAAGGUAGGAGCAUGGUAACAAUUCUCCAGUAGAGGAAGGAGGAACCGCAAGACUGGUGAGGGUUUGAAGUGGAUUCAGAGUUUUUUCCAUAAGAUGAUGAGGGAGCUUGAAGAUUGGGUUUAGGAUUUUGGUUGAUAGUUUCACUGGGAUUCUUCUUGAUCUCUUCCUUUGUUUGUGCAUUCUCAGCUUGUUGUAGAUUACAGCACCAGUAGCACCUUUACCUCCCAUCAUAGUAGUAAGACUAUUAACCUCUGCCUUCAUUUGUUGCAUCUCUGAUUCAGUAAUUGCUCCUUGUAGAUUUGCAGUCCCAUCACUUUUUGCCAACUGAGAAGAGCCUUGUUGAUUAUGAUGUAUUGUGAACUCCUCAAAUUUGUAGCCUUUUUCUCCAGUCUCCUUGUCUCUUAAUCGAGUAGUAUUUCCUUUUUCUCCCAUACAAAAAACAAUUUCCUCCACCGUCUGUUGUUUUUCUCUCUCUAUCAGUACUCAGUCUCUGAGUUGGGAUUUUUAUUUUCCCUUGAAUCCUGCUCAGGUUGAUUCUUUUUGUUGGUAUUGUUCUUUGUUUAAACUUUUCAAAACCCGGUGGAGGUUCAGUAUACCUAUCCGGAGUCAAGAUUUUGAAGCAAGAGCUGGUAUUUGUAUCAAAAGCUAUCUUUGUUGGUGGUCCAUGCACAAAGCUGAAGCUGCAUAUCUCCUUCUCGACUCCCCUUUUAUCCACUUCACUGUCUGAUCUCUACAGUUUUGCUGCUGGUAAGACUUCAAUCUCUUCUGGCGCAUGACGUUUCGAGGAAGGGACAUCACUAUCCAUCAUAGUUUCAUGCAGAGUAACUCCAACGUUAAAGCUAGCUUGGGUGGUCUCAGCGGAUUUAGGUUUUGAGACCAUAAUCUCUUUACCUUUCAGCACUAAAGGAGGUGGAGUCUUACUUGAUUCACCUUGAUACGAGAUGAUCGAGUUUUUGAGAACAACUGCAUUUUCUUCUCCUUGAAAGGCCUCAGCUAUUUCUUCAAGCUUCUUUUCAAUAAACCUUGCAUCUUCUUCCAUCUCCAUAUGUUCAUCUAAUUGAGGAUCAGAAAGCAUACCAGGCUGAGCUUUCUUCACACAUUUCUUCCGAGGGUGGUUCAGGACUCUACACAGCUUGUAGAAGCCUUUUGGAAGUCUCUCGAAGAACAUAUUUACUCUCAGCUUUUCUGAUUUACCUAUGUUAAUAGGUAUGUGAUCCCAUAACCUAUCAUUGACAUUGAUUUCCACUAGAGCACGAGGACAUGUUAGAGUAAGUUCAUUUCUAGCUUGGUAUUCAACCAUAUAACAUGUAGCCAUGUUGCUUGCGAUUUCAUAAGGUGUUGGUUCUAUUGUUAGCUCAGGGGGAAGAUUCAGCAGUCGAGCCCACAUAGUAACAAUAUCCAUGUUUACGGAUUCAGGUGCUACACCAUAAUGGUAUUUUUGUACAACGAGCAUAAAUGGACUAUAACUCCAAAUGUUGCGUUAAAGUGCAUUUUGAACCUCUUGCUGAGUGUUGAGACAAAAAGUGAAGAUAUUCUUUACAUUGCCUUUUAUUACCAGUGUACAAUCUGGUUCAUAACCGAUUUUCCAAAUGCUUUGUACAAUAUCUUUGGCUUUUUCUUUACUGAGCUUAAAAUCACAGUUUAUCUUAGAUAUAAUCAGUGUUUUGCUUUUAUUUCUGAUAUCUUCUAUAUUUUUGUCAGAUAUAGUAAAUUCCUUGUUUGUACUCAACUUUUCUUCUAGGCUAAUAACAAGCUCCUCUUCUGAGAAAUUAGAUGACAUAUUGAUGAGAAUGAAAUCUUUGAAUUUCUUGCACCAUGGAGUGUAUAGCAUUUUUACCAAAACAAAAAGUCAGAUCCAGAAUUCCCACCAAUAAAAAUUUGUAUCUCAUUGAUUAGCGAGAAGAAGACCACUGGGGAGAAGGUACGCAUAGGCCAGGUAAAAACCAUUAAAGGCGGCAGGGGACAGGCAUUUUUUUGGAAAUAAAUAUUGUUGGAAAAUUCGGCUCGAAAAGUUGCUCGGAGCACUCCGGGAGGACAAUUGCUAUACAGACCCCAAAUUUGUCUAAGGGGGACCCUGGGCUAUGUACAUCCCAAUUUCAUUCUCAGCACCCACCUGCUAAGGGCACCCCUACUCUGGAUAGGGGCACCCCCUUCUUCUUCCACGUUUAAACAGAAUUUGGUGGGAAAUUUCAUGCAAACUACAGGCAGAUUUUGGUUCGAAUUUUGGAUGUGUUUGAGUAAGACUCAACGACUGAAAUCGUUUGGGUAGUUUUCAUUGAUCUAAACAGGCGUGGUAAGGUCGUUAUUGUUGAUCCAUUUGGGCUGGAUAAUCACUUGAAAGCAAAACAUGGAGUGAGGAAAAAGUCGGGUUUUUCCUGCAAUUAAGCUGUGAAGAUUUUUGGAGAUAUUUGGCGAGAUUUUUGGCUUGAAUUGGAUUAGCAUCAAUCCUUGAUGACUAGACAGGGGACGCGUAAACUUUGGGAUUGACAGAAUCAAACUGUAUUUGGAAACACGACAAAAUAGGGGAGUUUAUUCUCGGAGAGAGAUAAUCACAGCAUUACAACGAAUUUUGACAUGUACUCACGUGUUUGGAUAGAGUUGGAUUGCUGAAUAAGAGUGAAUAAGAUGAACAAGGAUAUUCUGCACGUCAUUCACAGCUGCAUAUGAGAAAGAAAAUAUUUUCUUUAUUACCGAGUAAAGGAAGAUUAUUGGGAGUUAAUGAGCGAGAUUUGUUGUUGUUGUGCUAUAUAUAAAGGCUGAUGGGAUGUCAGUGAGGGCUAUGGAGAGUUAGGGGUAGAAAGUAGCGAGCACAGAAGGCUGCAGAGAGUUGUAGUCGGAGUUCUUGCACUUUCAGGCGAAGAAGAAGAAGACGAAGAAUAGAUCACUGUUUAUGUAGUACCUGUCAUCUUUUCUUUGUAACAGCAAUUGUAACAGAAGAUUCUGUAACGCCCUUUCACCGUUGCAAUCUCUGCUCCAUUAUAAUUCUUCAAUAGAAACACAUUUUUGAGCAAUGAAUUAUAUUUUGAGCGUGUUUUUCAC